AGUGUUCUGGACCUUUUCUCUUUAUGUGUUACGCACAGAACAGUCUCCGAAUGUGUCCCUCUUUCCCAUCGUCGCUCCAGGAACACCCUGCUCUUUUGCUCCCGGGGGAACCUGAGAAAAAACAAGGUCCCAGCCCUCCUCAGUGUAACCCUUUCCCCUCCUUAGAAGUUGGGAAGAAAAUGUCCCCACCCAAAAUGGAGAGUGUCUGAGGAUUCAAGAAAUCUGAAGGCUGAUUUGUGGAAGGCUGUGUUGCCACCUCUGUUUUAUUGACCUCCAGCCCAGCUAAGACGGCCUUGUAACCUUCCCAGGCCUUGUAGAUAAGCAAGCAAGGGACCCAAGAAUAAAGAGUAAUUCAAAAUCCAGUAAAUGGAAUGUGGAAUCGGAUCAGAGUAGGAGACUUCAUCUCACCAUAAACAGGAUACAGAGGAAGGCUUUGGGGGGAUGGACCAAGGUGAGGGCAAGGUUCAAAUUCUCCUGGGAAAAUGAACAAUCAUCUCCCUGACAUCAUCUUCUGCUCACUAGCUGUCAGUCAAUCAACAACUGCCUACUAUGUGGCAGGAACCGUCCUAAGCCCUGGGCAUACGAAGAAUAACCAGAACUGCUCCUGUUCUCAAGGACCUUACAGUUUAAUGUUUCAAAUCACUAUGUGAAGCUCCUGGGAAGCCCCUUGAACCUGUCAAAGUGCAGAGGUAACCAAAUGCUGCCCUGUACAGGAGGAGACUGAGGCAGCAGGUGCCACAUUCCUUCGAUCAGAACGGGUUUUUCUCCAAAGCUUUGCCAGGGAGAUUGGUGAGCAGGCCAGGGGAGAGAUCACCUGGAGGGACAUAGGAGGCUGGGUUCCCUCAUCUCUCUUUCUCAUCCAGCCCCUACCCCUCACUCUGUCUGAACUGCAAAGAAGAAAAGAAGGGACAUGAGAUCUGGGUGACCAACCCAAGACCUUAUCAGGUCUUCUGCACCACUCCUCACCAUGUCCCUGCCAGGCCUGCCAAGGAGUUCGGUGGCUGUGUGGCUGGAUGGCCACAUAGACUGCAGCUCAUUGCUGCACAGAUGGAUAGAUAGAUUUGGGAAGCUGGGGAGCAGGUAGCCCACUUGUUAUCUAUAUUACGAAUUCCACGAAACCACUGUUGAAUCGGGAAGAAGCUUUAUGAACGACCUGGGAAAGCUGGGAGUCCUACAUGUGUGAGAGCACAUGUGACAGAUGCACACCUUUUUAUUCCCUAUUCCCCUUCCCUUUCUCUUCUCUCCCCAUCUCUCACCGGCCC